rnacentral:rRNA from 1 species
AUUGAACGCUGGCGGCAGGCUUAACACAUGCAAGUCGAGCGGAGAUGAGGUGCUUGCACCUUAUCUUAGCGGCGGACGGGUGAGUAAUGCUUAGGAAUCUGCCUAUUAGUGGGGGACAACAUUCCGAAAGGAAUGCUAAUACCGCAUACGCCCUACGGGGGAAAGCAGGGGAUCUUCGGACCUGGCGCUAAUAGAUGAGCCUAAGUCGGAUUAGCUAGUUGGUGGGGUAAAGGCCUACCAAGGCGACGAUCUGUAGCGGGUCUGAGAGGAUGAUCCGCCAUACUGGGACUGAGACACGGCCCAGACUCCUACGGGAGGCAGCAGUGGGGAAUAUUGGACAAUGGGCGGAAGCCUGAUCCAGCCAUGCCGCGUGUGUGAAGAAGGCCUUUUGGUUGUAAAGCACUUUAAGCGAGGAGGAGGCUACCUGGAUUAAUACUCUAGGAUAGUGGACGUUACUCGCAGAAUAAGCACCGGCUAACUCUGUGCCAGCAGCCGCCGUAAAAC